GAAGAAAUUGGAAAAAUUAUCUGCAGAAUCCAAAAAAGAGACUCCAGAGAAGAAACCUGAAAAAGUAUCUGCGGAACCCAAAAAAGAGACUCCAGAGAAGAAACCAGAAAA